UUUGUAAACUAUUAAACAAAAUGUUUUUGUUAUAUUUACAAUAACAAUAUGUGAUUAUAAUCAAAUGUAUUUGUUAAAACUACAAAUAUUGGUAACAAAAACAGCGAAAUACUGUAAUACUCUUAACAAAACAAUUAUGUUAAUUUGACAUGCAAAUAUUGUAGAAACUACAGUUUUAGCCAGUUGAUUUAAAAAUACAAAACAUAUAUGUAAUCAUAUAUACAAGUCUAUGCUGUACUUUUAACAUGAUCUUGAUGAAACUAUGCAAAUUGAGAUAGGCCUAAUAAAAAUUCUCACUGUGAAAAAAAUGUCAUUGUGAACCUCGAGGUUGCCUAUCUAUUUAUAGGAUAUAUAAAAAUAUACAAUUAUAAUUCCAAUGUUUUUUUUUAUCAUGGCUAUUUGUAGCCAAUCUGGUGCUGAUCUUCAUGAUGCAGGUUUUAUAUUGGUGAUAUUGAGAUUUGGUGAGUGAGAUUGGUGAGCCAGAUAAAAACAUCCAUGAAUAUUGGGUCAUUUACGGAGGAACUGCACCUGUUUUUUUUCGUAAGCUUGAUAAAUGAGCACUGAGUCCGCCUAACUUAGAAUUUAAAAGUGUGCAGCUCGUCUCUGAUUGGAUAAUGACGUAAGGGCGGGAGGAGAAGCACGAGCUCCUCGUUCACGGCUUCAGCUGACGUCACCAACGAGCCAGUAGUAGCGCCGCCGCGUCUGCAGAGUGGAGAACGCAUCAGAAAUCUUCGGACUACCGGACUACUUUGUACUACUUUCAUAAAACUUAUUUUGGACAAAUCUACGAUUGGAAGAUCCGUGGCUAUUCAAUCGAUCCGUGGCUAUUGCAACAAAGUUUGCAAGGUAAGCUUAAAAUGUCGGCUACUUCUCCUACUUUUUGCUGAAAGCACAUGGUGUAAGCUAGCACCAGUUGAUAUUUAGCAGGCGCUAGCAACAGUUGAUAUGUAGCAGGCUAAAGACCAAUCGAUUGAUGACUAUAAAAAUGAUCACCUGCGUCUUUUGUAGAAAGAUAUUGGUUACAUUAAGAGGCUAUGUACUACAUUGCAGAGUGCAUAGGAAUGAGCCUCGUUGUCUUUUCAAAUGUGUUGGCGCCAACUGUAGUCAAACAUUUACCACUUAUGCAGCUUUCAAGGGGCAUUUUUAUCGCGUGCACAAUGCACCUGAACCGCAAGCCACUCCUAGAGCUGUUGUUGCAGAUUUAAAAUGCGCAGUUUCAUUAUGUGCCCGCCAUUUUCACACAGUGAAAGAGCUAGUGUCUCACUUAAAUGAUCAUAUUGGAGAGGGCAGGUCUGUGUCAUGUCCAGUAAGUGGUUGUAAGCACAUGUUUACAAAAAAGUCAUCAUUUACUUCUCACAUGUGUAGGAAGCAUAAAGCAUGCUCCCCUGAUGGUAUUGAUGACAUGUACAGGGAAACUCGCCCUCAGCCCCCAAAUUGCAUUGCCAGUACAGAUGAUUCAGAAAACACACAUGAUGCUAUGCCAACAGCCAGUGCUGCCAGUGAUAUGCCAGAGGUUGAUAGUCAUUCUUAUCUCAGAAACAUGUGUCUAUUUUAUCUUAAACUGCAAGGACAGCUGCUUGUACCUGCCUCUACUAUACAGACUAUUGUAGAGGAAAUGCAAAAUGUGCAUGACUUAGGUCAAGCCUACACAAUAAAUAAAGUAAGUUCUUUAUUAAAAAAUGAUAUGAGUCUAUCAGAUGAAGCAGUCACUAAAAUUUGUGACUGCAUUAAAGAGUCAGAUUUGUUCUCUUCCUGUCAUCAGGGACAAUUAAGAACAACAUACACCAGAAAUCAGACAUUCAAAAAAAUGUUUAAAUACACGGAACCCCGAAAAGUGGCAUUGGGAAUUGAUGAAAACAUGACACAAAAAUUCGCAUACUACAUACCAGUUGCAGAAACUCUGAAGAGCUUUCUACAGUCAGAUUUAUGGAGGAAUACACAGGCACAACAGUUUGGUGAUCCUGAUGUAGAGGUUUUUACCGAUUUAUAUGACGGACAAAAUUUCAAAUGCCACCAGUUCUUUAAUGAAAACCCUGAAAGCCUCAAACUGAUUUUGUACCAAGAUUCAUUUGAAGUGGUGAAUCCCCUGGGUUCUGGUAAAAAGACGCACAAAGUGCUUGCAGUCUAUCUUUCAUUAGCAAAUUUACCCAUCCAUUUGCGUUCCAAUACUGAUAAUAUGUUUUUGGUCUUGUUAUGUGUUGAGAAUGACUUUAAGCGUUUUGGAAUAGCCAAAGUUUUCUCAGAGUUGUUAGCAGAUCUGAAAUCCUUGGAGACGGAUGGAAUAAAUGUAGAUGGGGAAACAGUAAAAGCGGGUCUUUACUGCAUUGCUGGGGAUAACUUGGGUUCUCAUUGUGUAGGUGGGUUUACAGAAAACUUCAGCACCUCUCAAUAUUUUUGCAGAUACUGUGAAAUCACAAGAACUGAGUUUCAUGCUGAUCCGAAUGCCUGUGGUCCUCCACGCACCCCAGAGACGUAUGCCACGGCUGUGGAGGGUCUCCAGGCUGAAGACAUCCAAUGUGUCAGAGGAAUAAAGGUGGCAUUUGUUCUUCAGUGCAAAUAUGUGUGACGCAGAGCGAACCUUCCUAGAUGUCGCCAUCACUGAAUUCCUACCAGAACUUCCAGCAGUAAUCAAAACCAUCCUGGAAGAGCACUUGCAGUCCCUUGGUGUGGAGAUGGCUGAUGAUCUACGCUUCAUAACGGAGGCUGAUUUGAUGACAGCGUUAAGACCUGUACAAGCCAGAAAGCUUCUUUCUGCUUGGAAACGGAAAUACCAGACUCCCGAGAACAGCUCACCAUCAUCUGAGGCAGCCUCAUCUACCCAAUUGCUGUCAUAUCUCUCAGUUUCACCCGGAAGUUCAUCGUCAACCUCCAACAGCAGCCGAGUACUUGAAAAACAGUGGGACGACAACUUUGAAAUUCCAUGGAGUAAGUUUCCUGAGGAAGUGAUGCAUUAUCUUGAGAGGGGAAAAAGGCCAGGCCCAAAACGGAGGAGGCAAAUGGUCCGGAUUGUUGUGACUGAGAUGAUGGAAAAAUGCCCUCAUAUAGGCAAAAAGCAUUCAACCGACGUUGCAAAAAAAAUGGUCGCAAAAUAUCCACAUUCUCUGCAAGAUGUAAUAGAGGGCGAUAUUGUUGGAGCAGGCUACCUUUCCCUUGUCAAACAGUUGCAAAAUAGAAUUGAAAAUGCGAGGCGCACAUCAACACCCAAAAUAAGAAAAAGAAAACAUCAGACUGAUGACUCAGUCGACACAGACGAGAUCCCAUUGGAAGAGAGAGCAGCAAUGCAGGACACGUAUGGAUGCAUUAAAUGGAAUGUAGAAUUUCUGCCCCGUGAAGAAACUCCAGAGAGCCAGCAGCAAAAGAUGGAAAAACUCAAGGUGAUGUUCCAACACUCUGAUGCCAAUCCAGAGGAGGUAAAAUGUUUAAUGAAGUCCACUUUUUACACACAGAGACAACAUGUCAACCUGGGAAAAAGUAUCAAAAGCCUUAGAGAGGAGUGGCCGUUUUGCUUUGAUGAACUCGGCAUGUCAGUUCACUUCAAGGAACUGACUGGGAUUAACCUCAAAGAGACAUUCACACAAAAUUUGGAUUUGAAGGGAAAAAGGCUUCUCGACUACAUGGCCACAGUUUGUGUCAGCAAGAGCAAGUUUCUUCAGACUUAUGCAAGGCUUCAGAGAAUGCGGGGACAGCAGAGUGGCUGUUCAGAUGACGUGAAAGAGAUGCUCCUGCUUCUGCUCAGCUACUUUGAUGAGAAUGAGGAGUCCAUGUUCUUCCAUGUAGAAGAUACAUGUCUGGCAGAAGAAGUCCAACUGGAACAAGUGCCUCUGACACCCACUGUCAUUGUCUGUGGACAGUCCUGCUAUUCCUCAACAAGGUACAUGCUGAGUCUGGAUCGGAACCUCGUCAACACAAACAUCUCCUCCUUCAUUUCUGCAUUGUGCCUCAUGUUCGGGAGCUACUACAUUUUCAACAUCCAUUAUCCAUCUGAGCUGGCUUCAACUCUGGAGUUCCUUCAAAGGUGAGUAAUCAUGGCUUACUAAUUUCUCAGACCGUGGGACCUGGAGUCUGGCUCAGAGGUUCCCGUCUUAAAGGAGAAUGCCGGCCAUUUGUAAUCAAUAGCCCUGUUGAUUUGAGGCUACAAGUGCUGCAGUAGGAAAAAUAACGUGAACAUUUGGCUCAAUAUUUACCGAGUAUCAGAACGACAGCUAAAGCAAACCUAUUGGGCCAAGCUCCAUUAAGAUUUACUUUUGGUUUGCUUGCCCCCAUAGGUUUGCUUUAGCUGCCGUUCUGAUACUCUGUCAAUAUUGUGCCAAAUGUUCUCGAUAUUUUUUCCUACUGACGGCACUCGGUAACAGGGCUAUGGGUUAAAAACGGCACGCAUUCUCCUUUUUAAUCCAGACUUUAACUAACUGGGUCUGCCUCGGCCUUGGCUCUAUAGGUGUGGCCUGAGUCUUGGUCUUGGUUCUUCUUGUACUUCUUUUUUUAAAUGAUCAAUUAAAAUGCUUAAUAUGCUUUAAUAUGCUUUUUUUUUUACAGGUGUUUCUUCUCGAUAAACCCAGAAAAAGGAACCAAAGUAGAGAGUAAGAACAACAAGCGUCGUCUCAACCUGAACCCUCGAGUCCUCACCCUGAUACAGGAUCUCUCCGAUCACGAGUGGCGUCAAGCCUAAAUAUGGACUCUAUGUGGACUCUGACUGUUUGUUUGAGAAGAGGUACUUUUAGUUUUCGCUUUGUUAAUCCAAAAUGUGUAUUAUGGUAAUUAAGGCACACUAACUUUUCCUGGUAGAGGGUCCGCCACAUGCUUUUUUCAUAGUGUUAUUGCUUUGUAGUUAUGUUCCAGGUUGUUGUUUUUUACGGUGAAGAACUGUCUUACUGCUGUGUUUCUAGAUGGCUUGUUUAGGUUUGUUUCCUUACAGGUGGUUUUCCCCCGAUGUGUUCUAUGUCCCACGGGCACGGACGUGGUGACAUCCUAUACAGCAGGGUGCAUAUUGUAUGGGGACGAUUCCGAAACAUAAAUAUAUUAUGUAGCUAUCUCAAGUUAAUAUACACACACACACACACACACACACACACACACACACACACACACACACACACACACACACACACACACACACACACACACACACACACACACACACACACUCCCAGUGUGUUAGUCGGGACACUUCCAGUGCUAUAAGGCACUGAUCAUUUUCGGCACAUUAGGCCACGUUUUAGAGGGAUUUAAGCCUAAAUGUGGACUCUGUUUGUUUGAGAAGAGGUACUGUUAGGUUUCGCUUUGUUAAAUCCACAAUUUUUAUUAUUGUUAAGGCAAAAUAUGUCAUUUUUGUUUUAAAGUCUUGCAAUAUGUACAGGUGCACUAUGUCAUUUUUAUCUGACACCUGCUUGUUUCCAUUUUGUAUAUGUUGGAAAAAAAAAAUCAUCCAAUUGUUUAUUGCCGAUGGCUGGUAAAUAAAUUUCCCAAAAGGGAUAUUUUCCUCUCUUGUCUUUUUUCAAAAUUUAAUUUUUGCAUGUUUUGCAGUAGGAGUAUUGGUAAUAAUUUUACAGGUGUAUAAGUAAAUUUUACAUUAUAACUUGAUUAUUAAAACAUAAAAAUACAGCAUAUUAUAAAUAGAUUUUAUGUAUAAUAUA